rnacentral:rRNA from 1 species
GAUGAACGCUAGCGGCAGGCCUAAUACAUGCAGGUCGAACGGUGUCUUCGGACAUAGUGGCGCACGGGUGCGUAACACGUAUGCAACCUACCUUACAUUGGGGGAUAGCCUUUCGAAAGGGAGAUUAAUACCGCAUAAGACAGUAGCUGGGCAUCCAGCAGCUGUUAAAGAUUUAUCGAUGUAAGUUGGGCAUGCGUCCAAUUAGCUAGUUGGUGAGGUAACGGCUCACCAAGGCAAUGAUUGGUAGGGGAACUGAGAGGUCAAUCCCCCACACUGGCACUGAGAUACGGGCCAGACUCCUACGGGAGGCAGCAGUAGGGAAUAUUGGGCAAUGGACGCAAGUCUGACCCAGCCAUGCCGCGCGCAGGAUGAAGGCGUUAUGCGUUGUAAACUGCUUUUAUACAGGAAGAAACGACUCUUGCGAGAGGCAUUGACGGUACUGUAUGAAUAAGCACCGGCUAACUCCGUGCCAGCAGCCGCGGUAAGAC